rnacentral:misc_RNA from 1 species
AAGUCGUAACAAGGUUUCCGUAGGUGAACCUGCGGAAGGAUCAUUACACACAGUAGUUCUCUACUGCCUUUGGGGGAGUCCAAAAGCAUGCUUGCAUGCGAGUCCGCUCCCUUCUUAGACCCUUGUCUUUUGCGCACUCAUGUUUCCUCGGCGGGCCUGCCCGCCGGCUGGACAACCACAAAACCUUUUUUAAUGCUCAAUCAGCGUCUGAACAAUUAUAAUAAUUACAACUUUCAACAACGGAUCUCUUGGUUCUG